AAGAGAAGGGAGAAAGAAGAAAGGAGAAAGGAGAAGAAGGAGGAGGAGGAGGAGGAGGAGGGAAGUAAGGGAGAAGAAGGAGGUUGGAGCAAGAGAGGGACCACCUCCACUCACCCCAAAUUAAGGAGCAGAAGGUGAAAGCAGAGGCAACAAAGAGAGAUGGAGAAGGUGGUGUGGGUGUUGGUGGGGAUCCAACAAAGAAAUUGAGAGGAUACUUGUGCAGCAGCCUCAUUGAGUGACAGAAAAACAUGAAAUCACAUUGCAUUUCCCAACAAUCUCAAUGGGUAGAGUAAGAUUGAGAGAGGGAAUUUGAGAUUGUAAUAUUUGAAUAACUAUUAAUUAAUAAAGGAGAAUCUAGAUGGAAGUUUUGUCUA